UGUCUGUAAGGAAGGAUGAAAUUGACCAGCAGUCAUCAGCCCCACUGGAAGGGAGCCUCCAACAGAACUUAUGUCUACCAGGAUUCUAUAUGGAAGAAGCCAGUGGAGGUUGUGCCCCACGCACCGAUGGGACAGACGACACCAGUCAUUCAAACACCCUCUCUUCUUGCUUACCUUGCACGACUUGCAAAUCAGGAGAAGAAGAAAAAAAUCGCUGCACACCCACCAAGGACACUGAGUGUCAGUGCAAAGCUGGCACUUUCCGUGAAGAUGCGCUUGAAUUCUGUCACAACUGCAGCACCGGGUGAGACACAGGAGCCUGCGGGGCUUCCAAACCACAGGAGACCCCAGUUUCCUUGUACCCAUUUCUCUCUCCUGCUUCCGUGAAGCUCCUCCCACCUCUCAGAGCUCCCUUGUGCCUGUGGGGUCUCCUGAGCCUGCAGCAGCACUCCCUACCACCACCGUCUGUCCUGCACGGCUUACCCUGUGGCCCCUUCCCAUGUCUCCUCGGGAGGGGCCU